rnacentral:misc_RNA from 1 species
GCCCUUAGCUGUUCUUUUCACUAUAAGCCGCCUCUCCUUCUCAAUUUUGCCGGUUAGCCUUAUCCUAGCUCAAUUCGUUUUCCUUUCGCACCUCGAAUCCAUCGCCGUCAAAUCACAGCUUCUUCUUCGCCGGCGGCGGCUAUGGCGUGUGUGCCUAAUUCAUCGAUGACUCUUCUCUUCGUCGAAAUGGGCGUCGGCUACGAUCAACACGGUCAAGACGUAACCUCAGCUGCUAUGCGAGCCUGUAAAAGUGCAAUUUCAUCCAAUUCAAUACCAGCGUUUAGAAGAGGAUCUAUACCUGGAGUUUCAUUCGAGCAGAUGAAAUUGCAAAUCAAAUUAGGUGUUCCUCGGCCUCUACAUCACACUCUAGAUCUGGAGAAAGUGAAAUCAGUGUUUCCUUAUGGAAGAAUCUCGAAUGUUGAGGUCGUUGAUGGCGGAUUGAUAUGCUCCAGUGGUGUUCAAGUUGAAGAAAUGGGAGAUAAAAAUGACGAUUGUUACAUCGUCAACGCUGCUGUCUAUGUUGGUUACUGAUCCAUUUUCCAGAUUAUUCGAAUAGUUGAACUGAUAAUUUCGUUCAAAAUUAACGAAAGUUUACAUUUUAUAGCAAUUUUAUUCGAUUAAUGUAUGUCUUUGAUUUUAGAUUAUGUUAUGGAGUUUGAGUUCGAAUUUGAAUUCUCAUUAUUGUUUACCAGUUUGAAGUCAUUCGAUUAUCGAAUGAGCUUGUAGUGAGAUGGAAAAAUCGAAAGAUU